UUUAAACCCUAAAUAUGAUUUAAAUUUCUUAUAUCU
rnacentral:tRNA from 3 species